rnacentral:rRNA from 1 species
AUUGAACGCUGGCGGCAGGCCUAACACAUGCAAGUCGAGCGAGCGGCGAACGGGUGAGUGAUGUCUGGGAAACUGCCUGAUGUGGGGGGAGAACUACUGGAAACGGUAGCUAAUACCGCCUACCAUCAAAUGUGCCCAGAUGGGGUUAGCUAGUAGGUGGGGUAACGGCGCACCUAGGCGACGAGUCCUAGCUGGUCUGAGAGGAUGACCAGCCACACUGGAACUGAGACACGGUCCAGACUCCUACGGGAGGCAGCAGGGGGGAAUAUUGCACAAUGGGCGCAAGCCUGAUGCAGCCAUGCCGCGUGUGUGAAGAAGGCCUUCGGGUUGUAAAGCACUUUCAGCGGGGAGGCGUUACCCGCAGAAGAAGCACCGGCUAACUCCGUGCCAGCCGCCGCGGUAAUUC